rnacentral:rRNA from 1 species
GAUGAACGCUGGCGGCGUGCCUAAUACAUGCAAGUCGAGCGAACGGACGAGAAGCUUGCUUCUCUGAUGUUAGCGGCGGACGGGUGAGUAACACGUGGAUAACCUACCUAUAAGACUGGGAUAACUUCGGGAAACCGUAGCUAAUACCGGAUAAUAUUUUGAACCGCAUGGUUCAAAAGUGAAAGACGGUCUUGCUGUCACUUAUAGAUGGAUCCGCGCUGCAUUAGCUAGGUGGUAAGGUAACGGCUUACCAAGGCAACGAUGCAUAGCCGACCUGAGAGGGUGAUCAGCCACACUGGAACUGAGACACGGUCCAGACUCCUACGGGAGGCAGCAGUAGGGAAUCUUCCGCAAUGGGCGAAAGCCUGACGGAGCAACGCCGCGUGAAUGAUGAAGGUCUUCGGAUCGUAAAACUCUGUUAGUAGGGAAGAACAUAUGUGUAAGUAACUGUGCACAUCUUGACGGUACCUAAUCAGAAAGCCACGGCUAACUACGUG